rnacentral:rRNA from 1 species
GACGAACGCUGGCGGCGUGCUUAACACAUACAAGUCGAACGAAGAGCGAUGGAAGCUUGCUUCUAUCAAUCUUAGUGGCGAACGGGUGAGUAACGCGUAAUCAACCUGCCCUUCAGAGGGGGACAACAGUUGGAAACGACUGCUAAUACCGCAUACGAUCUAAACUCGGCAUCGAGGAUAGAUGAAAGGUGGCCUCUACAUGUAAGCUAUCACUGAAGGAGGGGAUUGCGUCUGAUUAGCUAGUUGGAGGGGUAACGGCCCACCAAGGCGAUGAUCAGUAGCCGGUCUGAGAGGAUGAACGGCCACAUUGGGACUGAGACACGGCCCAGACUCCUACGGGAGGCAGCAGUGGGGAAUCUUCCGCAAUGGACGAAAGUCUGACGGAGCAACGCCGCGUGAGUGAUGACGGCCUUCGGGUUGUAAAGCUCUGUUAAUCGGGACGAAAGGCCUUCUUGCGAAUAGUGAGAAGGAUUGACGGUACCGGAAUAGAAAGCCACGGCUAACUACGUG